CCCUUAGAUGUUCUGGGCUGCACGCGUGCUACACUGAUAUUGCCAAUAUGUCAUUCUUAUCCGAAAUGGAUUGGGUAAUCAAGUAAUGAAAUUUCAUGCUUGGAAUCGGUAAUUGCAAUUUUAUCGUGAACGAGGAAUUCCUAGUAAGCACUAGUCAUCAGCUAAUGUUGAUUAUGUCCCUGCCCUUUGUACACACCGCCCGUCGCUACUACUGAUUGGGGGUUCAAGUGAGAUGCUUAGACCCUUGUUGCAUGGUUCAUUAUUGUGCUCCGAAAGGAAAAAGUUUCAAGCUUGAGUGUCUAGAGGAAGUAAAAGUCGUAACA
rnacentral:rRNA from 1 species